CCUACGGGUGGCAGCAGUGAGGGAUAUUGGUCAAUGGGGGAAACCCUGAACCAGCAACGCCGCGUGAGGGAAGACGGUUUUCGGAUUGUAAACCUCUGUCCUCUGUGAAGAUAAUGAAGGUAGCAGAGGAGGAAGCUCCGGCUAAUUACGUGCCAGCAGCCGCGGUCAUACGUCGGGAGCACGCGUUGUCCGGAUUUAGUGGGUGUAAAGGGUUCGUAGGCGGUCUUGCAAGUCAGAAGUGAAAUCCAUUGGCUUAACCCGUGAACUGCUUUUGAAACUGGAGGGCUUGAGUGAAGUAGAGGAAGGCGGAAUUCCAGGUGUAGCGGUGAAAUGCGUAGAGAUCGGGAGGAACACCAGUGGCGAAGGCGGCCUGCUGGGCUUUAACUGACGCGGAAGCACGAAAGCGUGGGUAGCAAACAGGAUUAGAUACCCUAGUAGUC
rnacentral:rRNA from 1 species